AAUAAAUAACAACAAACAAACAAACAAACCAAAACAAACAAAAAACACCAUGCAGCAAGCAAUUGGUGGUGGUGAUGAUGGUGGUGGUAGGUUUGAUUGGUUGUUUUUUUUAGUGUGUUCUCUAAGUUAAUAAACUAAACACCAGCCUAUAUCAAACCUUCGGAAAGGUAACAGGUGUGUGAAAGGUAACAACAGUUACCUAAUAAGACUUUUUAAAAGUACUGGGUCUUUCCAAAAUCAAAACCUGUAUUUAAUGAGUGAUACUGCAGCAAGUGGCUUCUGAUAGGCAUCAUGAAUAGACUUUCAAGCAGAAAUUUGCUGUCCGGAUUUAACAUAUCAGUAGGUGAUAGCACAUCUAUUUAGAAAUUUGUACACAUAGAUUAAAACUAAUAGUUUAUAAAGAAAAAGAAAAUCAAAAUUUGGAGAGAGAUCUUCCCCUCUUCCAACCAAAAAAAAAAAAAAAAAAAAAGGCAAAACAAAACAAAAAAGCCAGCCUCCCUUCAUCUUUUGUGUCCAAACCUUACAGGUCUUUCCAGUUUCUUUGUGCCACAGACCCUUUCGUAUACACCCACUGAGUCAUUAGUGCUUCACUAGUCAUAAUCAAAGUUUUCACUGACAGUUGAAACAAAAAUAAGAACUGGUACAAAAUUAGAGCUACAGGAAAGCCAGCUCAUUUAUAAAGAGAAAAAUAAAUGCACCAAGCUGCUAGUGACUGCGUUUAUUGUCUUCCUUGUGUUUUAUGAUAUUACAAACUGUUACAUGAAUCUAGUGAUGUGUGUGUAAGCUGAUCCAUGUUUAAAUCAAUAUUGUAACUUGCAAGAUGGGGAUAUUAGCUUUCUUAGCUUUUUUCAUCAAAAAGUGAAUGUAUUAAAUACAUGAUUGUGUAUACUGGCAUGUGGAAAUUUAUGUUGUGAGAGAAAUGUGUUCAUUUAUCUCAUUUUUUUCAACAUGAAUAAAGCUAUUCGUGUUUAAAAACCCUGGCUUUUCCCUAUGAGUGUAACAUUUCCCAACCAAUAAAAGGAUUUUUAACAGCA